GGGGACCGGCGCUCAGCAUAGGGAGGACCCGUGCCGGCACCAGUCUCUGAGUUCCCUCAGUAUUUAUUGAUCAUUAUCUCUACCAUCUUGGAGAGGGGAAUGUGGCAGGACAAUAAGGUAAUAGUGGGGAAAGGGUGAGCAGGAAAACAUGUGAACAAAUGUCUCUGUGUCCUAAACAAGGUUAGAAAAGGUGCUGUGCUUUGAUGUGCACAUACAUAAACAUAUCUGGUGCAUUAAAGAGCAGUAUUGCCGCCAGCAUGUCUCACCUCCAGCCUUAAGGCGGUUUUCUCCUAUCUCAGUAGAUGGAACAUACAAUCGGGUUUUACACUGACACAUUCCAUUGCCCAGGGACGAGCAGGAGACAGGUGCCUUCCUCUUAUCUUAACUGCAAAGAGGCCUUCCUCUUUUACUAAUCCUCCUCAGCACAGACCCUUUACGGGUGUUGGGCUGGGGGAUGGUCAGGUCUUUCCCUUCCCACGAGGCCAUAUCUCAGACUAUCACAUGGGGAGAAACUUUGGACAAUACCUGGCUUUCCUAGGCAGAGGUCCCUGUGGCCUUUCGCAGUGUAUUGUGUCCCUGGGUACUUGAGAUUAGAGAGUGGUGAUGACUUUUAACAAGCAUACUGCCUUCAGGCACUUGUUUAACAAAGCACAUCCUGCAUAGCCCUAAAUCCAUUAAACCUUGAGUCAACAUAGCACAUGUCUCUGCAAGCACAGGGUUGGGGGUAGGGUUACAGAUUAACAGCAUCUCAAGGCAGAACGGUUUUUCUUAGUACAGAACAAAAUGGAGUCUCUUAUGUCUACUUCUUUCUACAUAGACACAGUAACAGUCUGAUCUCUCUUUCUUUUCCCCACAAUUUGGAGACACAGGAAGAUGUUCCAUGAAGAAGUGGUCAGAACAAUGCCCUUUUGGCAGGAGGAUGCCCACAUUCAUUGACUAGUUAAUGUGACAGCAUAAAAGCUAGGGUUCCCUCCCAACUUGGGACCACAUUGAAGGUCUUUUACAGAUACAGAGCUUCCUGUGGGAUUGGCUGAGGCCUUUGUUGUGAAUGCAUAACAUGUCUACUCCCUCUGCCCAAUCCUGUUUACUUCCUCCACCUUCCCCAGAAAAAAUCAAUCCACUGAGACCAUGGCUUUGCAGUAAAGAAAAAGUUUGAUGAGAGGCUGGCCAUGCCACGAGGGACAUGGAGUUAUUACUCAUCAAUCUCCCUGAAAUUUGGAGGCUGGGGUUUUUCAAAGAUACUUUGGUGGGCAGGGAACUAGGGAAUGGGUGCUGCCGACUGGUUGGGGAAUGCAAUCAUAGGGAUGACGAAAAUGGUCCUCAUGCACUGAGUCUGCUUCUGGGUGGGGGCAACAGGACUGUUUGAGUCACAGGUUGGGUGGGGCCAUCUGAUUGUCAGAAAUGCAAAAGCCUGAAAAGAUAUCUCAAAAGGCCUGUCUUAGAUUCCACAAUAGUGAUGUUAAUUACCAUUAACAUAGUAAUUAACAUAGGAGGAGCUGGGGAAGUUGGAGAUCUUGGGACCUCUGGAAUAAUGGCUGGUAAUUGUUUAACUGCACCUACAUUUUAGUAGAAUUCAGGCCCCUCUGAUUUUCCUAACCUGGUAGCCUUUCAUUAGUUUUACAAGGGUGGUUUCAUUUUUGGGAAGAGCUAUUGUCUCCCAAAGUUAGUCUGACUUAUGCCCAGGAAUGACCAAGGACAGUUUGGAGGUUAAAGGCAAGAUGGAGUUGGUCAGAAUUUUCUCUUACAAUUUUUGCAAAGGCAGUUUUAUAUAUAUUGGUUUUCAUCCAUGGCUCCUGGCUCUUAACUCUCGUAGCUCUUGUUACAGUCUUUUGUUAUAAUGUUGGGUGUGUUGGGCCCCAAGGGCAGGCCUCAGGAAACAGAAUCUGUCUCCUGCCCUCAUUUCACCUGCCCCAGGGCAUGACUGUAAUCUUCCUGUGAAAAGUAAAGUAGAGGUUUCUCUUCAAAGACUUUCUUCCCUGUCUAAUUAGGAAUAAAUAGUAACUUCUCUUAGAAGCAAAAUUUAUUCAAAGACCUGUGCUAACAUUCUUAAAUAUCUGCUAACCAUAAUAAAGAAAUCAAUGUACUUUAUGUUCUUAGCUCCCACAAUUUAGCCUAAAUAUUUGCCCUGGCAUGCUUAUGCUGGUCCAAGCAAGCAUUAGGUCAUAGCCUGUUCCUCUUCCUUAUUUGAAGGUGUUUUUACCUUUCUCAGCAUUCCACAAGUUACAUCCUCCUUCCUUUGUUCUCAUCUGCCUUUGCCUCUUUUAAAAAGUUCUAAGUUGCUAGCCAGUCAGGACAAAUACAGAAUAUGAGGUCCCAUUCCAGCCAAUGGAAACUGGACACAGCAGUAGGGUGGAUGCAUCAGGUUAUAAAUGACCCUGUCUCCUUUGUUUGGUGUACUCUCAUGGCAGAACUAAUGGCGAGUGUACCCUUUCUGCAGAAAGCAUAAAAAUGGCCUUGCUGAGAAAAUUAAAUUUACGUUCAAGUGCUAUUUCUUUAUGGCACCAGGAAACAAGCAUUUCAAACAUUCCCCUGCCUUUCUGAUUGUGGGUCUUAAGACCCUCCCUUGAGAAGGUCCUGCCUCAUACGCUGGGGGAAGGAAUGCUUCAAUAAGAACCCAAGAGGAUUGGCUUUGGUGAGCUUUCAGAUAGCUGAACACAUGGGGGUUCCUGGAGGAUGGUAUGCAUGGGGAGGGCAUGGUAGCUCUGUGCUCCUUCCCCCAUACCAUCUCUUCAUCUGUGUCCUUUGUAAUGCCCUUUAUAAUAAAGUAUAAUAGUAAAUGUAAAUAAGUGCUUCCCUGAGUUCUGUGAGCUGCUCCAGCAAAUUAAUCAAACCCAAAGAGGGGGCUGUGGGAACUGUAACUUGAAGUCUGUUGGUUAGAAGUUUUGGAGGACUGGACUUGUGAUUGGUGUCUAAGGGUAUGGAGGGGGCAGUCUUGGGGACUGAGCCCACCAGCUGUGGGAUAUGGAGCUAUCUCCAGGUAGGUAGCGUUGGAAUUGAAUUGGAAGACACCUAACUGGUGUCCACUUCCUGGUGUGUGGGGAAAGCCCCCACAUUUGGUCACAGAAGGCUUAUUCUGUGUUGAUGAUUGUGGUGGUGGUGUGAGUGCAGAGGAAAAACACGGUUGGAGAGAGUUUUUCCUCUACCUGUGAAAGCAGUGAAAGAAGGAAGGACUAGGUAGCAAAUGAGUCACAUCUCAGCACACUUCUGAUAAGUUUUUGACCAGGCCAGUAGGGAGUCCUGGAGCCACACAAACCCUGUAGAGGAUUAUCACAUUGGGCAGGAAAGGCCAGAUUCUUGUUGCCUGCGCCCUUGUACCUUUGUUGUACAUGGUCAUUAGAUGGGAGGAGCCUAGGGGAAGGGAGGCCUGGAAUAAACACUGUGGUGGAUCUAAAGCACAGCUCCUGGAAGCUGUCCAUCAGCUGUGCCUGCGCCCCAACAGGUCUCAUGAAGGGAGUUCCAAAGGAGCACUUCCAUGGCCACCACACUCCACC
rnacentral:lncRNA from 1 species